UACGUAGGGGGCUAGCGUUGUCCGGAAUCAUUGGGCGUAAAGCGCGCGUAGGCGGUCAGGAAAGUCCGGUGUGAAAGUCAUAGGCUCAACCUAUGGAUGCCGCUGGAAACUGCCUGACUUGAGUCCGGAAGGGGCGAGUGGAAUUCCUGGUGUAGCGGUGAAAUGCGCAGAUAUCAGGAGGAACACCAAUGGCGAAGGCGGCUUCCUGGACCGACACUGACGCUGAGGCGCGAAAGCUAGGGGAGCAAACGGG
rnacentral:rRNA from 1 species